AUGAAUUGCCUAAGUUGGAAUUGUCGGGGAGGGGGGAACACCCGGACAGUCCGUGAAUUAGCGACGUUGUGUAAGUCGCAUUCCCCAAUGGUUGUGUUCCUGUGUGAGACUAGACAAAAGGAGGACAAGAUGAAGAGGAUCAGAGCCAAGUUGGGGCUCAAGGGGUUUUGUGGUGUUGAUAGAAAUGGUCUUAGUGGUGGAUUGGCUCUCUUUUGGAGGGAAGAUUGUGUGGUUACAAUUUUGGGUAAGGACGACAAACAUAUUGAUACUGUUAUCUAA
rnacentral:rRNA from 1 species